AACGUAGGACACAAGCGUUAUCCGGAAUUACUGGGCGUAAAGGGCGUGCAGGCGGUUGCGUAAGUUAGGCGUGAAAGACUUCGGCUAAACCGGGGGAGGUCGUCUGAUACUGCGCAACUAGAGUAUGGUAGAGGCGUGUAGAAUUCCGGGUGUAGUGGUGAAAUGCGCAGAUAUCGGGAGGAACACCAAUGGCGAAGGCAGCUCGCUGGGACGGUACUGACGCUGAGACGCGAAAGCGUGGGGAGCAAACAGG
rnacentral:rRNA from 1 species